GGACCCGCACAAGCGGUGGAUUAUGUGGAUUAAUUCGAUGCAACGCGAAAAACCUUACCUACCCUUGACAUGUCCGAGAGCCCGAUGAGAGUUGGGUGUGCCCGAAAGGGAAUCGGAACACAGGUGCUGCAUGGCUGUCGUCAGCUCGUGUCGUGAGAUGUUGGGUUAAGUCCCGCAACGAGCGCAACCCUUGUCAUUAGUUGCUACCGCAAGGAGCACUCUAAUGAGACUGCCGGUGACAAACCGGAGGAAGGUGGGGAUGACGUCAAGUCCUCAUGGCCCUUAUGGGUAGGGCUUCACACGUAAUACAAUGGCGCGUACAGAGGGUUGCCAAAGAGCGAUCUGGAGCCAAUCCCUUAAAGCGCGUCGUAGUCCGGAUUGCAGUCUGCAACUCGACUGCAUGAAGUCGGAAUCGCUAGUAAUCGCGGAUCAGCAUGUCGCGGUGAAUACGUUCCCGGGUCUU
rnacentral:rRNA from 1 species